rnacentral:lncRNA from 1 species
CCACAAAGCAAUGCUUCAUCUGAGCUCUCCAGCAUCCUGCACAACAGGGCUGCUAGCUGAAAAGGUGAUCCAUUAUUCAUUUGGGUAGCAUCUUGCUCAAAGACAUGCAAGACAGAUACAUUUGGCAUGACCCUGGAAUUUUUCACAGCAGUUUUGUUUUUAUCCAGAUGCCUGGCAGCCAAAGAGACAAGCAUGGAUCAGCACAUGCUGUUGCCUUGUAUGACUGAAUGGGUCCUGAAGCUGGGAGUUCCUUGCUUCCCCUAGAAAGAGAUGGAAGGCAGUUUCAUCACGCUGAAUUUCUUGACUUGAAGCAGCCAAUGAAGCCCCCCACAGGUGUGAAAGCCCCUGGCAAAGAGCUCUGUGCCAGACCGCCAGGAGCAGUGAAGUUAUCCACUGGACACACAGGAGCUUCCAAUUCACAGGGCAGUUCCAGUCAUGCAAACAAGGGGAAAAAGUACUUUUCAGUCUGGAUUGCUUUUAGCAAGCAAAGAAUUCCUAAGAGUCUCGACUACUUAAGCACCAGCAACCCUGGAGGUGUCAGCUUUGACUGGUAGAGGCUGCAAGUGUAGUGAUUUACAAGAUGGAUCAUGAGAAAGCAGAAAAGGUCUUCCUGCUGCUGUCUGCUGGUCACAGACAAUUCCUCUUCAGCCUUCCAUUCAAAACAGAACAAGCUGCAGAAAAUAAGUGUUUCCAUGCAAAAUAGACAGGGAAACAUCUGCCAUGGAAAAAAGAAGAUGCCAGAAAAUAAAGAAGCUUCAAAAAAGAAGCUGUCCA